rnacentral:rRNA from 1 species
GAAUCGCGAUAUGUAAUGUGAAUUGCAGAUUUCCAGUGAAUCAUCGAAUCUUUGAACGCACCUUGCGCUCUGGUAUUCCGGAGAGCAUGCCUGUUUGAGUGUCAUAU